GUAUAAGAGACAGCAGUAGCCGCGGUAAAACGGAGGGAGCUAGCGUUGUUCGGAAUUACUGGGCGUAAAGCGCGCGUAGGCGGUUACUCAAGUCAGAGGUGAAAGCCCGGGGCUCAACCCCGGAACUGCCUUUGAAACUAGGUGACUAGAAUCUUGGAGAGGUCAGUGGAAUUCCGAGUGUAGAGGUGAAAUUCGUAGAUAUUCGGAAGAACACCAGUGGCGAAGGCGACUGACUGGACAAGUAUUGACGCUGAGGUGCGAAAGCGUGGGGAGCAAACAGGAUUAGAUACCCCUGUAGUCCCUGUCUCUUAUAC
rnacentral:rRNA from 1 species